rnacentral:rRNA from 1 species
UUACGGGAGGCAGCAGUGAGGAAUAUUGGUCAAUGGGCGCAAGCCUGAACCAGCCAUGCCGCGUGCAGGAAGACGGUCCUAUGGAUUGUAAACUGCUUUUAUACAGGAAGAAACAACUCUACGUGUAGAGUCUUGACGGUACUGUAGGAAUAAGGAUCGGCUAACUCCGUGCCAGCAGCCGCGGUAAUA